CUAAACAUGAAGAUUCAGAUCUACACGAUCCUUCUGCCGUCAAAUACUGCGCAAUCAGCUCCUCAGAUCGCAUCUAGAGAUGAUCGAUUAAUUAGUUCAAGCUCUCGGCGAGUCGGCAAGAAAUCAGAUUGAAUCUCAUCGGAAAAAUCUUCCCCGCACUGAAGGUCAAGGGAAAGCAGAGGCAAUCUGUCCCGCGUCUCGAUUCACAACGGAGACCCACGAUUCAGAUCGAAUCCCGUGGGAAAAAUCUAUGCUGCAUCUUGAUUCACAUCGGAGACGAGCACGUAGGGCAAGGUCGAUUCCUAAAACGAAGAUGAACAGGAGGGCAAGGUCGAUUCCAAAUGGAGACGAGAACGAAGGACAAGGCCAAAUAGAGAACAAUCCGUCCCAAGCAGAGGAAGGACAUGGACAUAUGCGACAGGCUUGAUAGCGGGAAUCGCGCCCACGAUGUGGCUUCUGAAGCUCCUCCCCGCCCCGUCGGGUCGCGACUUACACAGGGGUCAAUUCAUACAGGCCUGACACUCAUCAGUGUCAUCACCUUCUAUGUCGCCGCUGGAGCGAUCAUGAGGGGGUAACCAAAGGUCAUCGAGGAGGCAGUUGAUGACGACAUGGAGAGUAGAUACUCAGAGUACUAGCUCGAUGCCAUGGUGGUGGACCUCACACAAGUUCUCAGUGCCACACUGCCGGUAUCACGUUCAUCCUCAAAUAUGUGUAGCCAUCGCUCCAAGAGGAGGAAGAAACAUUAAAACAGAGCUUGGUCUUAUUGAAGGUCUGUCUAUCGAGACUGUCAAUUCCUUCAUGUCUCUCUUUUUUUUUUCAGGAACACGCGAGAAAGCACCCUUCAUGUCUUUUACAGGCUCAGUUCAAAAGAUUAGUAGUGUAAUAUUUUGCUUCAUCUUUAUCUAUCAUUUUGUCUGCCUUAAAGACAGACUGAUAAACACUUUGUGCACAUAAAAACUAAGUUAAAUGAUUGUUCACGGGCUAAUAGUAUUGGGCAUGUAAUA